UACAGAGGGUGCGAGCGUUGUUCGGAAUUAUUGGGCGUAAAGCGCUUGUAGGCGGCACGUCAAGUCGCGUGUGAAAUCCCCAGGCUUAACCUGGGAAGUGCGCGCGAAACUGACGAGCUUGAGUGCCGGAGAGGGUCGCGGAAUUCCCGGUGUAGAGGUGAAAUUCGUAGAUAUCGGGAGGAAUACCAGUGGCGAAGGCGGCGACCUGGACGGACACUGACGCUGAGACGCGAAAGCGUGGGGAGCAAACAGG
rnacentral:rRNA from 1 species